UCAAACUGAGGUUGAAUUCAAAUAAGUGCACUAUCAGAGUGCGGGCCGGCUAGCUGCUGGGCUUAUUGUGAGCGGAAAGGAGGAAUCGAGGUUGGUCCUGCUAAAAAAAAAGAGAAAAAAAAGAAAAAAAACAAGAAAUGCCUGAACCGAGAAUGGAAAGAGAGGUUCGUGGUCUCCUGGGUAGAUUGAACUACAUCUCAUGGUUCAUAUCUCACCUAACAGCCACGUGUGAACCUAUA
rnacentral:lncRNA from 1 species